GAAACUGGAAUUUUCUAUGGUACUAUGUGGUGUCACGGACUCAGUCAAAGGCAGGUGGAAUUUAUCAAAGUAUAAUAGAUCAAUUUUCUACAAGUACCUCAUAAAAACAUUUCCCCAAGUAAGAUGGAGGAUAGUGACUUUUUGGAGAAACAGAAUGGCUUGAUAGAUGUCCACCUAGAGAACUACUGCUUCCAAAAUGAAAUGAUACGGCUGUAUGGGAAGCUAAUAACCAAAAGAUCAUGUGAACGUUUCAUCUACAACAUGAGAUGGGGCUAGAUGGGAGUAAGAUUGUCAGGGGCUAACUCUCCACGUUCUAGGAACUCAUCACUGUCUUGUUUCUACCACUGUGAUCCCAAGGUUUCUUGCAUCUGAAUAAAAUUGGGUCAAGUUCAGCUCAUCUGGAUUAUAUGCCAAGAAAAGGUUGGCCAUCAUGGAAUACAGGAGCUUCGGGUGACUUUUUGCAUUUUUAUGGCCACUAUUUGCAUUUCUUUUCCCCUGACAAACCCAUUGGUCAGAAUUGAGAAAACUAUCCUUGACGAACUGCUUUUUUAAAAGGAUGCAUUGCCCUUAAUCUAGCAGCUAAGCAGGGGUUUUGAAUAGGUGAAUCAGAUUCGGAGAGAAGACAAUUACAUUUCUGGAAUGAUACACACCCUCAAAGUAUUAUAGCAUUGGAUGUCUGCUGCCCAUUAAAUUUCCCCAGCCAAUGCUAAUUGCCACAAA
rnacentral:lncRNA from 1 species